rnacentral:rRNA from 1 species
GAGUAACACGUGAGUAACCUGCCCCUGACUUCGGGAUAAGCCCGGGAAACUGGGUCUAAUACCGGAUACGACUGCCGGACGCAUGUCUGGUGGUGGAAAGUUUUUUCGGUUGGGGAUGGGCUCGCGGCCUAUCAGUUUGUUGGUGAGGUAAUGGCUCACCAAGACGACGACGGGUAGCCGGCCUGAGAGGGCGACCGGCCACACUGGGACUGAGACACGGCCCAGACUCCUACGGGAGGCAGCAGUGGGGAAUAUUGCACAAUGGGGGAAACCCUGAUGCAGCGACGCAGCGUGCGGGAUGACGGCCUUCGGGUUGUAAACCGCUUUCAGCAGGGAAGAAGCGCAAGUGACGGUACCUGCAGAAGAAGUACCGGCUAACUACGUGCCAGCAGCCGCGGUAAUACGUAGGGUACGAGCGUUGUCCGGAAUUAUUGGGCGUAAAGAGCUCGUAGGUGGUUGGUCACGUCUGCUGUGGAAACGCAACGCUUAACGUUGCGCGUGCAGUGGGUACGGGCUGACUAGAGUGCAGUAGGGGAGUCUGGAAUUCCUGGUGUAGCGGUGAAAUGCGCAGAUAUCAGAGGAACACCGGUGGCGAAAGCGGGACUCUGGGCUGUAACUGACACUGAGGAGCGAAAGCAUGGGGAGCGAACAGGAUUAGAUACCCUGGUAGUCCAUGCCGUAAACGUUGGGCACUAGGUGUGGGGGGGGCAUUCCACGUUCU